CCUACGGGCGGCAGCAGUGGGGAAUAUUGGGCAAUGGGCGCAAGCCUGACCCAGCAACGCCGCGUGAAGGAAGAAGGCUUUCGGGUUGUAAACUUCUUUUCUCAGGGACGAAGCAUGUGACGGUAACUGGAUAAUAAGCCACGGCUACCUACGUGCCAGCAGCCGCGGUAAUACGUAGGUGGCAAGCGUUAUCCGGAUUUACUGGGUGUAAAGGGCGUGUAGGCGGGGACGCAAGUCAGAUGUGACAGCCACGGGCUCAAACUGUUGCCUGCAUUUGAUACUGGCGUACUUGAGUACGGGAGAGGUAGACGGAAUUCCAAGUGUAGCGGUGAAAUGCGUAGAUAUAAGGAAGAACACCAGUGGCGAAGGCAGCCUGCUGGACCGAAACUGACGCUGAGGCGCGAAAGCGUGGGGAGCAAACAGGAUUAGAUACCCUUGUAGUC
rnacentral:rRNA from 1 species